GCCGCUGUAGCUCAGUUGGUAGAGCAAAGGACUGAAAAUCCUUGUGUCGAGGGUUCGAUUCCCUCUGGCGGCA
rnacentral:tRNA from 2 species